rnacentral:rRNA from 1 species
UUUCCUACGGGAGGCAGCAGUGGGGAAUCUUGCACAAUGGGGGAAACCCUGAUGCAGCGACGCCGCGUGAGCGAUGAAGCCCUUCGGGGUGUAAAGCUCUUUCGGCAGGGACGAUUAUGACGGUACCUGCAGAAGCAGCUGCGGCUAACUACGUGCCAGCAGCCGCGGUAAUACGUAGGCAGCAAGCGUUGUUCGGAAUUACUGGGCGUAAAGGGUGCGUAGGCGGUCUCGUAAGUUCGGUGUGAAAUCUCCCGGCUCAACUGGGAGGGUGCGCCGAAAACUGCGAGGCUAGAGUGCGGGAGAGGAGAGUGGAAUUCCUGGUGUAGCGGUGAAAUGCGUAGAUAUCAGGAGGAACCCCUGUGGUGUAGACGGCUCUCUGGACCGCAACUGACGCUGAGGCACGAAAGCGUGGGGAGCAAACAGGAUUAGAUACCCUUGUAGUCG